GACGAACGCUGGCGGCGUGCCUAAUACAUGCAAGUAGGACGCAGUUGCGAACGGUUGAGUAACGCGUCGGUAACUGCCUAUUAGCGGGGGAUAACUAUUGGAAACGAUAGCUACUCCCGCAUACUAGUAGAUGGACCUGCGUUGUAUUAGCUAGGAGGUAGGGUAAUGGCCUAACUAGGCGAGGAUACAUAGCCGACCUGAGAGGGUGGUCGGCCAAAUGGGGACUGAGAAACGGCCCAGACUCCUAAGGGAGGCAGCAGUAGGGAAUCGUCGGCAAGGGGGGGAAACCUGACCGAGCAACGCGGCGGGAGUGAAGAAGGUUUUCGGAUCGUAAAGCUCUGUUGUUAAGGAAGCGGUACUUAACCAGAAAGGGACGGCUAACUACGUGCCAGCAGCCGCGGUAAUAC
rnacentral:rRNA from 1 species